rnacentral:rRNA from 1 species
AACUUUUAACAACGGAUCUCUUGGCUCUGGCAUCGAUGAAGAACGCAGCGAAAUGCGAUAAGUAAUGUGAAUUGCAGAAUUCAGUGAAUCAUCGAAUCUUUGAACGCACAUUGCGCCCGCCAGCAUUCUGGCGGGCAUGCCUGUCCGAGCGUCAUUU